AACCAGUUGUAGCUCAGCUGGUAAAGCCUGAGACUCUUAAUCUUAGGGUCGUGGGUUCGAGCCCUGCAUUGGGCA